CAGCCGCCGCGGUAAUACGAAGGGGGCUAGCGUUGUUCGGAUUUACUGGGCGUAAAGCGCACGUAGGCGGGCUUUUAAGUCAGGGGUGAAAUCCCGGGGCUCAACCCCGGAACUGCCUUUGAUACUGGAAGUCUUGAGUAUGGAAGAGGUGAGUGGAAUUCCGAGUGUAGAGGUGAAAUUCGUAGAUAUUCGGAGGAACACCAGUGGCGAAGGCGGCUCACUGGUCCAUUACUGACGCUGAGGUGCGAAAGCGUGGGGAGCAAACAGGAUUAGAUACCCCGGUAGUCCCUGUCUCUUAUAA
rnacentral:rRNA from 1 species